AGACGCGCCUUUUUCAUUUCUUCUUCCCGCGGUAGGUUUGAAAGUCUCUGUACCGAAAAUGGAAAUCUUCACAGAAGAAGAAGAAUCGGAGGUUUAUGAGCAAUCAACAACGUCAAACAACUCACCCCAACUCGACGAAAACGGUUUCCCUUUACCACAACGGAAUAAUGAAGAAGAAGGAGAUGAAGAUGAUGAGUCCAAAGAGAAAAAUGAAGACGAUGGGGGUUUUGCUUCUGAUUUCUAUCGUAGCGGUACAGACUGGUCAUCUUUACUACCGUUAUCCGAUUCUACGAAUAAGAAUAAACAGAUUAUUAGAUCUUCAUCAUCAGCAUCUUCACACAAAAGACUGAAACAAACAAAUCUGUUUCAAUCAUGGGGUCUCAAACAAAAUACCCCCGAAAUCUCCUUUCCUGACCCAAUUAGGGCUUCUAAUCCCUUGGAUAAGAAGAAAUCCACAAGGGGGACAUUUGCUCCGCGUAAAACUUGUCCCUUUUAUAAGAAAAUCCCAGGAACACCUUUUACUGUAGACGCAUUUCGAUACGGUCUAAUUGAAGGAUGCUCUGCAUAUUUCCUCACACAUUUUCACUAUGAUCACUAUGGUGGAUUAACCAAAGGAUGGUCAAACGGCCCUAUCUAUUGCACCCCUCUAACUGCUCGCUUACUCAAAUUGUGUCUCUCCGUGAAUCCUUUAUUUAUAAACCCUUUGGAACUGGGUACUGAGUAUGUUAUCCAUGGAAUCAAAGUGACAAUGUUAGAAGCUAAUCAUUGUCCGGGUGCUGCUCUUAUAUUCUUUCAUCUUGCGGAUGGAAGACGAGUUUUACAUACUGGAGAUUUCAGAGCUUGUAAACUCAUGCAGUCUUAUCCUCUCCUCGUAAAUCAGCGCGUCCACUCAGUAUACUUGGAUACAACUUACUGCAAUGCAAAGUACAUGUUCCCUCCUAUUGAAGAUGUAUUGAGUUUUGUCGUGAAGGUUACCAGGGACAGUCUCAAAAGGCAGCCAAAAACCCUUGUCAUUGUGGGUGCAUACAGCAUUGGGAAAGAACGUGUAUAUCUUGCUAUUUCUGAGGCAUUAGGGGUUAAUAUAUACACAAAUGCUCAACGGAGGCGAAUUCUGCAGUCAUUUGACUGGCCUGUUCUUUCUGGAAGGCUCUCUUCGCACGCACAUGACACACCUCUUCAUGUCCUACCUAUAUCAUCCUUGCGGCAUGAUACCCUAAAUCAGUACCUGGAGAGUAACGUGGACCACUAUAGAUCAAUUUUAGCAUUUCGUCCAACCGGCUGGACAUACUCCGGGACUAACGGAAGUAACCUGGAUCUGAUCAAACCAACUACCAGAGGCAAUGUCACCAUUUACGGGGUUCCAUAUAGUGAGCACUCCAGCUUCUUGGAACUCAGAGAGUUUGUUCAGUUCUUGAGGCCUGAGAAGAUCAUACCCACCGUGAAUAUUGGCAAUGCUUCCCAACGAGAUAAGAUGCAGAACUACUUCCGGGAGUGGCUAAAACCCUGAUGUUUUUGUUUUUUUUAGCUGUUGAGAUAUGCCCCCUUCUUUAUGAUACUGAGGUUUCUUAUAGAAUAAUCAGCACCAUUGCCUGUUUUCUAUAGCUGGGUAGAUGAUUGGUGGUACGACCUUACAAACACCUCCCAUGGUUAUAGAUGCUGUGGCUAGGUGUGCUUGAACUUUGAAGUUCUAUAGACGAGAUUCUUGGUGCUAGUUCCAUGCGUGGCACAAAGUAAAGAAGCUGUGAUGGGCAUCUUUUUGUUGUUGUCCUAGUACUUGUAAUACUUCUACUAUGUUAGAUAGGUUGUUGCUGUUGUACUUUUUAUUCUCCACCAGAUGCACAUCAGUUCACAUUUGUGAGGCGAGGGGCAUUGUUCUAAUUGUCUUUUAAUGAUCGAGUUCAUCAAAAUCCAGAUCUUAUUCUAAUCUUAGAUGAGGCAAGUAAGAAAGCAGCUUGCAUCCUUAGUGCAAUUCCCUGGUGGGAAUUAUAUUUUGUACCAUCCACUUUUUUUUUUUUUUUAAGAGGAAUACAUAUGGGUUUGAUGGCAGUGCAAAUUCAAGGAGAAGUC